rnacentral:snoRNA from 1 species
AUUUUGCUAUGUUGACACUUUCUAACAUUCUCCUUAAGCCUCUCCCAUGCUUCAAAAAUAGUUUCAUUCUCUUUCUGGCAGAAGUUAUCGAUUUCUAUUCUAAACUU